GUUCACCCAUGUUGUAGUAUGAGUUAGACUCUCCUUUCUUUCUAAGGCUGAAUAAUAUUCCACUGUAUGUGUAGACCACAUUUUAUUUAUCCAUUCAUCCAUCAAUGGACACGGGGGUUGAUUCCACUCUGUUGUAAACAAUGCUUCUAUGAACAUGGGUGUACAAAUAUGUGUUCAAGUCCUAGCUUUUAAUUCCUCUGGGCCUAUAGCCCAGAAAUGGAAUUGCUGGAUCAUAUGAAAAUACUGUUUAACUUUUUAAGAAACCAUCCCACUGUUUUCCAGAGCAGCUGCACCAUUCUACAUCCCCACCAACAGUGCACCAAGGUUCCACAGAGUCUACAUCUGUAUCAGUAGUGCUUUCCAUUUUUUUGAAAAUAUUUAAUGAUGGAACUGUGCUAAUGCUAAGAAUAGAACUUAUUCUAGGAGCCUGUGUGGAUAAGAAGAGAAUUGUUGCGUUCAUGAAACAUUAAAGCCAGAAGAUCUAGCCUAAAAUAGUCCUUCGUGUGUUCUGGGCAGCAUGUCGCUUUUAUAGACUUCUACUCUCUCAAAUCCAUCUCAGCACCAGGUUGGAAACGUCUGUUCAGGAGUCACUGGCCACGCCUGCUUUCCCAAUGAGGGGAGAGGGACAGAGGCUGGCACAUUCUGACUUGUGGGUAGCCAGUGUCCUCACCACCCCCCAACCCCACAUCCACCCCUUUUGGCUUUUUCAACAAGAAUGAAGUUGCCUUUUUAUCUACUUCAGGAGGCUCUUACAAUCCGGUGAAACUACACCACCACGCACUCAGCGUAUUCCAAUAGACGCCUCUUUAGCAGCGGUUGCCUUUUCCCAUGAGCUCCCCUGUCCCCGAUCCCCUGUUUAUGACAUCUCUCCUCUUGAGCCCUGAGGAGAGAUGGAGGGUGUGUGAGACACCAGGUCUGCAACAGGCUGCCAUCAUGUCAAGGCUUUAUUUCUACUUCAUCAUUGUCUUGUACAGACUCCGAGCCACCGUCCUUUGUUCCAAUCCAGUAUCCUCAUGUGUAAUAUUUUUCCCGUAAACAGAAAAUUUUGAGUAAACACUGCGUAUUGUCAGUUCAUCUUUUAACAAUAAUUUAAAAAAGCCACAGAUGUUGUAUCAUCGAUGCAAGAAGACGACAAAAGUACAGUACGAGGGAACUCACAAUGUGCACAACGGGACGACUCACUCGGGCGAUGGCGAGCCCACAGCAGCAGUAUGUACAUGCACCCCGGCGCCUCGGACCCGAAGACGUGCAAGUCGAUAGAAUAUGUGGAUUAUACAAAGAAUUUGGUGAGCCCCGCUGAGGACUCGGUGCCCUUUUCCUAAACGCUGACAUGGGUUCCCUCCAGCAUAUAGGGCAUCUGUCUUGACUAUUGGCUUCCUGACUUUUUCACUACAAAAAGUUCAUUUUAUCAGACGGUCUGAAGUUUUCAAAA